rnacentral:rRNA from 1 species
UACGAGGGGGGCGAGCGUUAUCCGGAUUCACUGGGUUUAAAGGGUGCGUAGGUGGGUUGGUAAGUCAGUGGUGAAAUCUCCGGGCUUAACCUGGAAACUGCCAUUGAUACUAUCAAUCUUGAAUACCUUGGAGGUGAGCGGAAUAUGUCAUGUAGCGGUGAAAUGCUUAGAUAUGACAUAGAACACCAAUUGCGAAGGCAGCUCACUACACGGUCAUUGACACUGAGGCACGAAAGCGUGGGGAUCAAACAGG